GCCAGACUCCUACGGGAGGCAGCAGUGGGGGAUAUUGCACAAUGGGGGGAACCCUGAUGCAGCGACGCCGCGUGGGUGAAGGAGCGUUUCGGCGCGUAAAGCCCUCUCGGCAGGGAAGAAGGAGGACGGUACCUGACUAAGAAGCCCCGGCUAACUACGUGCCAGCAGCCGCGGUAAUACGUAGGGGGCCAGCGUUAUCCGGAUGUACUGGGGGUAAUGGGGGCGCAGACGGCAGCGCAAGCCAGGAGUGAAAGCCCGGGGCCCAACCCCGGGACUGCUCUUGGAACUGCGCGGCUGGAGUGCAGGAGGGGCAGGCGGAAUUCCUGGUGUAGCGGUGAAAUGCGUAGAUAUCAGGAGGAACACCGGUGGCGAAGGCGGCCUGCUGGACUGCGACUGACGUUGAGGCCCGAAAGCGUGGGGAGCAAACAGGAUUAGAUACCCGUGUA
rnacentral:rRNA from 1 species